UAGUCCACGCCGUAAACGAUGUACACUAGGUCCGGGAGGCUCUGACGCCCUCCGGUCCGAAGCUAAAGUGUUAAGUGUACCGCCUGGGGAGUACGGUCGCAAGGCUAAAACUCAAAGGAAUUGACGGGGGCUCACACAAGCGGUGGAGCAUGUGGCUUAAUUCGAGGCAACGCGAAGAACCUUAUCCUGGGUUUGACAUGUAAGAAUUAGCUGCCUGAAAGGGCAGUGACGCGGUUUACCGUGGAACUUACACAGGUGCUGCAUGGCUGUCGUCAGCUCGUGCCGUGAGGUGUCGGGUUAAGUCCCUCAACGAGCGAAACCCCUGCCGUUAGUUGCUAACAGGUAAUGCUGAGGACUCUAGCGGGACUGCCGGUGUCAAACCGGAGGAAGGUGGGGAUGACGUCAAGUCCUCAUGGCCUUUAUGCCCAGGGCUGCACACGUGCUACAAUGGCAACGACAAAGCGACGCAAUACCGCAAGGUGGAGCAAAUCGCAUAAACGUUGCCCCAGUUCGGAUUGUGGU
rnacentral:rRNA from 1 species